rnacentral:rRNA from 1 species
GACGAACCGAGCGAACGUUGUUCGGAAUCACUGGGCUUAAAGGGCGCGUAGGCGGGCUGUCAAGUCUGGGGUGAAAUCCCGCGGCUCAACCGUGGAACUGCCUCAGAUACUGACGGUCUCGAGGGAGGUAGGGGCGAGCGGAACUGAUGGUGGAGCGGUGAAAUGCGUUGAUAUCAUCAGGAACUCCGGUGGCGAAGGCGGCUUACUGGGUCUUUUCUGACGCUGAGGCACGAAAGCCAGGGGAGCGAACGGG